rnacentral:lncRNA from 1 species
UCCUCCCUCCAUCUUGAGUUUCCUAAGAGCGUCUCAGAUCUAAAACUCCUCCUUCUACUUUUCAUCUUUGGAAGAGUUCAAAUCAAGAAGGAGGCACCUGAUCAACCAUCAAAGAAGGAUCAGCGCAGUACUAGCAUACUGUGCUGAUUUUCUAAAGCAGGACUUCUGAUCGAGAUUCAUGGGCUCGUGUGGAAGACUCCUAGAGGCUGGACGCAUGUGCAGCUU